CCAGCAUAUUGUAGACUAUCAUAAACACAUUUGUUUAUAACAAAAAGUAAUAAAAACAUAUGUAGAUUUUUUUAAAUUGGACGUAUUGCUAUUUUUAUCCUAGUCGAAAUUAUGAAACGAAACGUUUUGACAGUCCGUUUGCCAAUAAGCAGUGAUCAGUUUCUUUUGUUUGUUUUUCUAUUGUUUACCUACUAUAUUAGAUGAUGACUUACCUCCAAAACGCUUUAAAACUUUCGUUUAUAAUUCUAAGUGUGUUUAUAAUUAAAGAGCUACAGUGAAAUAAAAUGAAUUCUCAGAACUUGUGGCGGCGAAAAAACAUUUCAAUAAUAAGGCAACAAAUGCCACUAACAAUAAAUUGAAGGAGCAGGCUUGGCAAAUGAUUUUAAUUCGUCGAUUCGUCGUUUCCCACGAACUCCAUCGCAGCUUCGACUAAAAUGGGAAAACUUAAAGAACGCUACGGCAACAUAAGAAACAACCUUAGUAAGGCUGGAGGUGGUAAGGAUUGCAGAUGAAAUUUUGGAUAAAGCAUGCACAUUGUUGUAGGUCACAUAUAAUAUUUUUAACACUUUUACAGCCAAGCGGAAACAAGAUGGAAGAAAAGAAAUGCAAGGCUAGCAUAGGGACAAUGCAUUAGCAGAAUAUCUAAUAGCAAAAAAGAGACUUGACUUGGAAAAUAAAGAAAAGGAGAUUGUUGUAGCAAAAGUUAAGUUAGAUUUAGAUAAUUUAAAAAAUUAAAAAUUACUUAAAAGGAAUAUUAAAUUUCAUAAAUUAAGUAGG